AACAAUCUGUGCAGUGUGGCAGGGUGCAUUAUCCUGCUCAAAGUGGCCCCUGUCAUCAUGGAACACCAUUGCCAUCAAGAGGAGUAUGUGGUCUGCAACAAUAUCUAGGUAGGUGGUACAUGUCAAAGUAACAUCCACAUGACUGCCAGGACCCAAGGUUUCCCAGCAGAAAACAGGGGUCAUCAUGAGCACUCUGACUGGUCUGCAGCAGUCUAAUAUGCAGCAAAUUGUGAUGCACUGUGUGUUCUGACACCUUUCUAUCAUUGCCAGCUUUAUUAUUUUUUGCAGUUUGAGCUACAGUAGCUCUCCUGUGUGAUUGAAUGAGUCGGGCUAGUUUUUGCUCCUCACAUGCAUCAAUGAGCCUUUAGCGGCCAUGACCCUGACGCCAGUUCACUAGUUUAAAAGAAACAAUCUCAGGCACUCACUGUGAUAAGUUAAGCAAGUUUAUUGGCCACCGCAACAUUUCGACCUAUACCCAGGUCUUUGUCAAGCUUGAUAAAGACCUGUGUACAGGUCGAAAUGUUGCGGUGUCCAAUAAACCUUCUGAACUUAUCAGAGUAAGUGCCUGAGAUUUUUUCUUUUAUACUUGCUCUUAUGGUAUAUGCUGACCCAUGGUCAGUUAGCACCCUGUGAUUUUUUAUGAUUAAGUGCAGCCCUCUUUUCUCUUUUCAGUUCACCAGUUGUCCUUCUUUGUGUAACAAUACCUUACCUUUACCCACCGGACCUGCGCAGCGCGGUGUUCUCCCUUGCUGCUUCCAGGAGGUGGCACAGUCUGUCUGACGCCGGCCGCUCGCAGCACGCCUCUUCUUAUGACGUGGCGCAUGUGCGCCGACGUCAUCAGAAUAUUGCCACGGAAAUUCAAACGUGGCCACGCUCCCGAACCUUUUGGGGGUGUGGCUUUAAAGUAAAAGACACCUCACUAUAAAAGGGCGCCCCUGUCAUUUCUUCAGCACCCUAGUGUGGUUCUUGUGUGUUCCCUCUAGUGCUCUUGCGAUUCUUAACUGUUUUCUGGUAUUUUGACUCUUGGCUUUCCUUACUGACUCCUCUCCUCUCUGGUUCCCCGAUUAUUGGCAUGGUUAUUUCUUGUGUAUUCCAAUUUCUGUACCUUUGGCUAUUCCUUUGACUAUUCUUUGACAUUGAGCCCGGCCACCCUAAGGUCCGGUAUACGUCUCUUUCUGGGUUACUCUCUGCGUGAAGGGGUCACUGUUGUGACACUUUGCACCACUUUUAGUAGGUACUGACCACUGCUUCCCGGGACUUGCCAUUUUGACUUGCCAUUUUGGUGGUGCUCUGAUCCAGUUGUCUAGCCAUCACUAUUUGGUCCUUGUCAAAGUCACUAAGGCCUUUUCGCUUUCCCAUUUUUCCUGCAUCAAACACAGGAAAUCAAGAACGACUGGUCACAAGCUGCCUGAUAUAUCCUACCCCUUGACAAGCGUCAUUAUAAUGAUAUAAUCAAUGUUAUUCGCUUCAACUGUCAGUGGUUUUAAUGCUGACUGUUCAGUGUAUAUACACAGGCAUAUACACACUGCCACACAAAGACACACAAUGACCACCUCAUAAUUACUGACACACAAACUGUCAUACACAUGUAAAGUGUGACGCAUACACACAUAAAUCAAGCUCUAUUUUAGUCACCCUCCUCAUUGCCUACCUUGGUGCUGGUUGAAAGAGGCUUCCCUAGGGUCCAGUGAGACUGCAGGCACUGCUUGUCUGUUUUUACCCUCCUGCACAGCUUCCUUUUUAUUGUGGGAGGAAGUGAGCUGAUAUGACUUCCUCCCAGUGAUGCCAUACUGGAGAAUAACAGGGGCUGUCAACACAGCUCCUAAAGUGGCCUGCUCCACCUCAAAUCGGAAUCCAGUCUGGCUAGGGUAUAUACUAUAUGGAUAUACGCACUAAUUAGCACUAGUAACAGCUCUGUAAUGGAGUACCAGCCCCUGAUGUUGGCACUGCGCACUGUGCAUAUAUUACUGCCUUUAUAUUUCAACCAAGCUGAUCCAUGAUAAACAAGGAUAAUAAUAUUAAUAUUAGCGGCAAAUUUCAAUUUAGUCAUAGUUUUUUUACAUUUUAGUUUUAGCCUUAUUUUAGUCAUCUGAAUUGUUUUAGUUUUAGUCUAGUUUUAGUCGACUAUAUCUCCAGUAGAUUUUAGUCGACACAACUAAAAUCGAAUGGGUUUAAUUAAAGCCUUUAUAUGUCUCUUUUGACCCUUCCCCAGACCCUUGGUGUCUCUUUGUGCCCCCAGCACCUCUGGGUGUCUCUGUCUGUCUUUUUUGCCCCUUCCACAGCCCCUCUGUGUCUCUUUGUGUCCCCCCAGCACCUUUUGGUGUCUCCCCCCCAAAAUUAUUAUCUGUCUCUCUUGCCCCUUCCCCAGCCCCUCUGUAGUUCUUUGACCUCCCAGCCCCUCAUGUGUCUUAUUCUUCCAUUCCCCUCAUUUGUCUUAUUCUCCCAGCCACCCCAUGUGUCUCAUUUCCCCAGCAUCCCAUGUGUCUCAAACUCCCAGACCCCCAUGUGUUUUAAAUCCCCCACCCCCCCCAUUUGUCUCGAUACCCCAGCCCCCCAUUUGUCUAAUCUCCUCUCCUCCUUCCCCUAUGCGUCUUGGUGGCAAUUUUCAAAUUAGUCAUAGUCUUUUGAAUAAAAAGCCAUUUUAGUUUUAGUCAUAUUUUAGUCAUCUGAAUUCUUUUAGUUCUAGUCUAGUUUUAGUCGAGUAAAUCUCAUUUUAGUUGAUAAAAUUAACACUGAUCCUCAGGUUCCCACUCAUAAAAAAAUAAACUUGGGGAAUGCUUGCUUAGCCAAUUGUGAAGCUUUCUUCACUACCACUUUAACUCCAGUUUUGACCACCAGAAAAAUCUGUUUAUCACCGUACAAAAUUAGUAGAUUAUGAUAAAUUAUGGAUCUAAUUACACUAAACUGAUUAUCAAAAGGUGUGCUGUAACUAAUAAUUUUUUGUCUCCCAGACUAUAACUAUUAACUUUUUUCCAGCUCAUUGGAUGAUUUUGCACCCUAUCUAAACAUUCACUCAUUCUUUUAUUUUCAGCAAUUUUAAGGUGACCUCUAUCCUGAAUCUAUUUCUCAUAUAAUCAGCAAGAAUCAAAAAUGGUCUCCCUGAAGAAGAGUUCCAAUUCAACCUGAGGAUCUGUCCCACAGGGAUAGCUUUAAUCAUAUGAAGUGGAUCAUUAACUGAGGCACGCAAAACAGCAUUUACAUCAGUGAGUUUCUAAUUGAUGUCUCCAAACAUCCCAUAUUAUCAUUUUUUAUGGUAACUUCCAGAGAAUGGAUUUUUGACUUUCUGUACUCCACUGUAAAUUUGAAUAAUUAUAAUUAACAAAACCAAAAAUCUCCCCCAACCUAGAAGAAGUACUGCCCCCCACCCCAAGAGAUCAUAUAUAAAAUGCUAAAAUAAAUAAAUAUCACCUCUAUAGGGCUUCACUUUUCAAAAAAUUUGCACUACUUCCAAUGACUAAUAUACAGUUAGGUUCGGAACUAUUUGUACCCUGACAUAUGUUUUGUUAUUUCAGCUGUUUGCCAAAAUACAUUUGUUACAGUUAAACAAAGAAUAUGGACUUAAAGUUCAAUCUCUCUGCUUUAAUUUGAGGGUAUUCACAUCCAAACUACAGGAAGGGUUUAGGCAAAGAAGUGGAAUAUUCUGCAAUCACCUGAUCUCAACCCGAUCAAGCAUGCAUUUUACUUGCUGAAGACAUAACUUCAGAAAGACCCACGAACAAACAAUGACUGAAGGCAGCUACAGUAAAGGUCUAGCAUCGCAAAGGAGGAAACCCAGUGUUUGGUGACGUCCA